UGUUGCAUCCCAAAUGGCACCCUAUUUACUAGUAGCCUACACUACUUUAGAACAGAGCCCUAUGGGCCCUGGGUGGCAUUUGGGAUUCAUUUGAUGUGUUAUUGUGUUGUAAAUCUGUUCCAGGAUAAUUUUUGAUGAGGGGCUGCCGUGGACCAGCUUCUCCUUGGUGCCUCUGUUCGUGGACGGGAUGCUGGCAGAGGCCGGGACAGAGAACCAGAUCAUGACAAUGUGGAAACCACUACAAGAAACAUCAGGGAGUUAUUUUUGUUUUGUUGGUGAUGCCGGGCUUGGAUUCCGGCGCCGAUGGAACCGGGGGUGCCUAAGCUGGAUCGUCGGGCCGUCAGGCCCAAGCUGGCUCGAGAGGUUUCCUUGCCUCGGUUGGCUCGGCAGGUUCCCAUCCCACGUCAUGCCUCGGCCGGCCCAUGGGGUUUCUACGCCGCAGUGCAUGGUAUCUGAAGCAAUUGGCUUACGAAAUCUAUGGAUAGUAGCCCAUAAUUGCAUCUAUCAAACAGGGCGAGCCGUGUGUGAUGGGCCAGAAACAGAAAAUAUCAAACGCAGACUAGGAAACUAUUGCAUGCUGGGAAAAGACUACACCGAAGUCCUCUCUGCUGAGUCGAGUAUCUGUCGGGCCCAGGACUUUGAAUGGUACUUAUAGUAUACUAGUAUAAUAACUCACAAUUUGCAGUAUAAUAUGACACAUGAACACAUGUCCUAGAACAUCUUAUCACAAAUGAUUUAUUUUUCAAACCUAAACAUGACUAGUUAAACAGAAGUUCAGCAUUCAUUGUCCAUAAAAGAGUUGUAUGACACUUUGUAUAUGUUCUCCCAUUUAAGCAAAUUUUGGAUUUAAUACUGUCAUGACUCCCACCGAAGUCGGUCCCUCUCCUUGUUCGGGCGGCGUUCGGCGGUCGACGUCACCGGUCUUCUAGCCAUCGCCACUCCACCUUUCAUUUUCCAUUUGUUUUGUCUUGUUUUCCCGCACACCUUUUCCCUCAUUACUCUACGUGUAGAUUAUCCUCUGUUCCUCCCCAUGUCUGUGUGUGGUUUUGUUCGUUCGUUACAUCUAUGACGCUACAGGCUGGUUUUGCGCCGGGUAUUGUUAUCCCGUGGUUUUGUUAUUUUGUACAAUGUUGUGUGAUUUUGUGCACUAUCGCUUGUUCCUUGGGCCAGAGUGUUGACGCAGUUGCGUCCGGCUGUUUUCCUCUGCCCGAUUAAAGUGUUUCUGUUCACUCAUCUCUGCUCUCCUGCACCUGACUUCCUUUGACCAGUUGCGCACACUCUGACAAAACAUAUUUCAGGAUCCCAUUCAUUUGGUUCAUUUUCGGUUCAUUUUCGGUGUCAGUGCUCUCUCUGUUUUUAAUCUUCUAAAGGCAGGGAAGAGAAAAGCAAAGAUACAUUUGUAUAUAAAUGCCAGCGGUGUCAGGUCAGACUGUAUGAGUUUCAAUUAGAAUCCAUUGACUCCUGUGAUAGUUGUUUUAAAUUAUUUUGGUACUGAAAUUAUUAUUUGAUAAAUUUCCUUCCUUUACUACAUGGCUUGUCUCUCUCUCUCUCUCUCUCUCUCUCUCUCUCUUGCUCUACAGCUGGUGAUAGAGACAUUGAAAUUAAAAAAUUAAAAACAAUCUCUCUGAGAAACGUUCC